UAGGGAAUCUUCGGCAAUGGGGGGAACCCUGACCGAGCAACGCCGCGUGAGUGAAGAAGGUUUUCGGAUCGUAAAGCUCUGUUGUUAAGGAAGAACGAGUGUGAGAAUGGAAAGUUCACGCUGUGAAGGUACUUAACCAGAAAGGGACGGCUAACUACGUGCCAGCAGCCGCGGUAAUACGUAGGUCCCGAGCGUUGUCCGGAUUUAUUGGGCGUAAAGCGAGCGCAGGCGGUUAGAAAAGUCUGAAGUGAAAGGCAGUGGCUCAACCAUUGUAGGCUUUGGAAACUGUUUAACUUGAGUGCAGAAGGGGAGAGUGGAAUUCCAUGUGUAGCGGUGAAAUGCGUAGAUAUAUGGAGGAACACCGGUGGCGAAAGCGGCUCUCUGGUCUGUAACUGACGCUGAGGCUCGAAAGCGUGGGGAGCGAACAGG
rnacentral:rRNA from 1 species